UACGGAGGGUGCAAGCGUUAUCCGGAUUCACUGGGUUUAAAGGGUGCGUAGGUGGGCAGGUAAGUCAGUGGUGAAAUCUCCGGGCUUAACUCGGAAACUGCCAUUGAUACUAUCUUCCUUGAAUACCGUGGAGGUCAGCGGAAUAUGUCAUGUAGCGGUGAAAUGCUUAGAUAUGACGUAGAACACCAAUUGCGAAGGCAGCUGGCUACACGAAUAUUGACACUGAUGCACGAAAGCGUGGGGAUCAAACAGG
rnacentral:rRNA from 1 species